AACGAACGCUGGCGGCAUGCCUAACACAUGCAAGUCGAACGAAGUCUUCGGACUUAGUGGCGCACGGGUGCGUAACGCGUGGGAAUCUGCCCUUGGGUGCGGAAUAACUUCUCGAAAGGGAUGCUAAUACCGCAUAAUGUCGUAAGACCAAAGAUUUAUCGCCCAAGGAUGAGCCCGCGUAAGAUUAGCUAGUUGGUGGGGUAAAAAGCCUACCAAGGCGACGAUCUUUAGCUGGUCUGAGAGGAUGAUCAGCCACACUGGGACUGAGACACGGCCCAGACUCCUACGGGAGGCAGCAGUGGGGAAUAUUGGACAAUGGCGAAAGCCUGAUCCAGCAAUGCCGCGUGAGUGAUGAAGGCCCAGGGUUGUAAAGCUCUUUUACCAGGGAGUAGAUAAAUGACAGUACCUGGAGAAUAAGACUCCGGCUAAACUCCGUGCCAGACAGCCGACGGUAAU
rnacentral:rRNA from 1 species